GAGUUUGAUCCUGGCUCAGGAUGAACGCUGGCGGCGUGCCUAAUACAUGCAAGUCGAGCGAACAGAUAAGGAGCUUGCUCCUUUGACGUUAGCGGCGGGCGGGUGAGUAUCACGUGGGUAACCUACCCAUAAGACUGGAAUAACUCCGGGAAACCGGGGCUAAUGCCGGAUAAUAUUUAGAACCGCAUGGUUCUAAAGUGAAAGAUGGCCUUGCUAUCACUUAUGGAUGGACCCGCGCCGUAUUAGCUAGUUGGUAAGGUAACGGCUUACCAAGGCAACGAUACGUAGCCGACCUGAGAGGGUGAUCGGCCACACUGGAACUGAGACACGGUCCAGACUCCUACGGGAGGCAGCAGUAGGGAAUCUUCCGCAAUGGGCGAAAGCCUGACGGAGCAACGCCGCGUGAGUGAUGAAGGUCUUCGGAUCGUAAAGCUCUGUUAUUAGGGAAGAACGAAUGCGUAAGUAACUGUGCGCGUCUUGACGGUACCUAAUCAGAAAGCCACGGCUAACUACGUGCCAGCAGCCCGCGGUAAUACGUAGGUGGCAAGCGUUAUCCGGAAUUAUUGGGCGUAAAGCGCGCGUAGGCGGGUUUUUAAGUCUGAUGUGAAAACCCACGGCUCAACCCGUGGAUGGCAUUUGGAAACUGGAAACUUGAGUGCAAAAAAAGAAAAGUGGAAAUUCAUGUGUACCGGGAAAUGCC
rnacentral:rRNA from 1 species